UACGAAGGGGGCUAGCGUUGCUCGGAAUCACUGGGCGUAAAGGGUGCGUAGGCGGGUUUUUAAGUCAGAGGUGAAAUCCUGGAGCUCAACUCCAGAACUGCCUUUGAUACUGAAGGUCUUGAGUAUGGGAGAGGUGAGUGGAACUGCGAGUGUAGAGGUGAAAUUCGUAGAUAUUCGCAAGAACACCAGUGGCGAAGGCGGCUCACUGGCCCAUUACUGACGCUGAGGCACGAAAGCGUGGGGAGCAAACAGG
rnacentral:rRNA from 1 species